rnacentral:lncRNA from 1 species
UUUUUUAAAUUAGAUGCAACCUUAUGAAAGAAAGUAGUGUUUCUAUCACCAUUUGAUAGCUAAUUGACACAAGCCCUCUGUUCCCAAAAUAAUUCCUUCUUAUUUGCUUCUAAAUUUAGUCCAAGAUGAAUCUUCAACAACUCAGAGAAAAUAUCAUCAUCUAGAUCUUUUUCAUAAACCUCCUUCAUUCUGAGUUCAAGCCUUUUUUUCUACUAACCUCUAUUUAUUUUAACUGUAUGACUCCAAUGUCUUAACUUUCUUCCCACCC